CAAUCAAGUGCCUUAAGGGUGUUCGGUGGAUGCCUUGGCGCUGAGAGGCGAUGAAGGACGUGCUACGCUGCGAUAAGCCGUGGGGAGCUGCGAAGAAGCUUUGAUCCGCGGAUUUCCGAAUGGGGAAACCCACCUUCGAUAGCCGGAACUCCAAGACCUUGGUUUUGGGGUUCAAUUGGGAGACCGAGAGAAUUCAAGGCCGUGAGGUUUUGGAUUUCCGGUUAUCAAGAGAAGGUAUGAGACUUCUGAAUACAUAGGAGGUUUCAAGCGAACCCAGGGAACUGAAACAUCUAAGUACCUGGAGGAAAGGACAUCAACCGAGACUCCGCUAGUAGUGGCGAGCGAACGCGGACCAGGCCAGUCAUGAAUGUAAGCCAACCAGAACCUGUCAGGAAAGCAGGGCCUUAGAGGGUGAUAGCCCCGUAUGGGUAAUGCGAACAUUCAUGCUCGAGUAAGGCGGGACACGUGCAAUCCUGUCUGAACAUGGGGGGACCACCCUCCAAGCCUAAGUACUCCUCAGCGACCGAUAGUGAACCAGUACCGUGAGGGAAAGGUGAAAAGCACCCCGACGAGGGGAGUGAAAUAGACCUGAAACCGGACACCUACAAACAGACGGAGCCCAAGAUGCGUUCUGGGUGACGUCGUACCUUUUGUAUUAUGGGCCAGCGACUUAAUUUAACGAGCAAGCUUAAGCCGAUAGGCGUAGGCGUAGCGAAAGCGAGUCUGAAUAGGGCGUCAAGUUCGUUGUAUUAGACCCGAAACCUAGUGAUCUAGCCAUGAGCAGGUUGAAGGUGAGGUAACACUCACUGGAGGACCGAACGGGUGCCUGUUGAAAAAGGCUCCGAUGACUUGUGGUUAGGGGUGAAAGGCCAAUCAAACUGGGAAAUAGCUGGUUCUCCGCGAAAGAUAUUUAGGUAUCGCCUCGGACGAAUACCUCAGGGGGUAGAGCACUGGAUGGGCUAGGGGGACUUACCGUCUUACCAAACCCAACCAAACUCCGAAUACCUGAGAGUACUAUCCGGGAGUCACACGGCGGGUGCUAACGUCCGUCGUGGAGAGGGAAACAACCCUGACCUACAGCUAAGGCCCCCAAUUCGUGGCUAAGUGGGAAAGGAUGUGGAAAUCCCAAAACAACCAGGAGGUUGGCUUAGAAGCAGCCAUCCUUUAAAGAAAGCGUAACAGCUCACUGGUCUAAAUAAGGGUUUCUGCGCCGAAGAUGUAACGGGGCUCAAGCCACGAGCCGAAGCUUAGGGUGUGCGCGCAAGCGUACGCGGUAGCGGAGCGUUCUGUAAGCCUGCGAAGGGCGACCCGUGAGGGCGCCUGGAGGUAUCAGAAGUGCGAAUGCUGGCAUGAGUAACGACAAACACUGUGAAAGACAGUGUCGCCGAAAGUCCAAGGGUUCCUGCGUAAAGUUAAUCUUCGCAGGGUUAGCCGGUCCCUAAGGCGAGGCCGAAAGGCGUAGUCGAUGGGAAUGCAGUGAAUAUUCUGCAGCCAGUGGAUGGUGACGAAUCCCGUGUGUUGUCCGACCUUACUGGAUUGGUUGGGCUUCGAAGGGGUUCCAGGAAAUAGCCUCCACAUUAGACCGUACCCGAAACCGACACAGGUGGACUGGUAGAGUAUACCAAGGCGCUUGAGAGAACUAUGUUGAAGGAACUCGGCAAUUUACCUCCGUAACUUCGGGAUAAGGAGGCCCAU
rnacentral:rRNA from 1 species